rnacentral:rRNA from 1 species
AUGGAACACAUUCCACAACGGCACAUGCCAACAGAUGGCCACACACACGAACAACCGACAGCUCCGACUUUGCCGACGAUCAUUGCCCGGGAAAUAUGCAGGACUUGCGCCGACCGUGCCCGCCGCAAACGACCACCGAGCACCUGUCAUCAUCACCACCUGGAUCCGCUCCACCGCAGUUCCGACUUCAAAGCAACCAGGCAACCCACGAAAGAGCACCUCGGACACGCCGGGAAGAUCCGACUACCAAAGCCCGAGCCGCGACCCAAGCUCCUCUCGACGCCAUCAUCGUUGCCAAACAGAAAUCAGCGCCCCCAAACGGCCGCCUCAGCAACCACGCGGCGAAGAUGCCGCCAUCCACCGCGGCGAAGAUGCCGCCUUCCACCGGUCUCCAGUUGUAGCCAGCUCUGA